rnacentral:rRNA from 1 species
AUGACUUGGCAUGCACCCACCCACGACCCACACAGCCCCACGCCCAACCCACACACACACACCAACGUUGGAUCCCAUCUCUCUCGUCUUCCUCGAUCCCCUUUCUCCACCCUACGCCGCCGCCAGAUUUCGGCGAUCCCCGCCGUUCCCCAUCGCCCAGCUCUCCUCCCCGAGUUCACCUCUCCCCGCUCACCAUAUCCACCGACCGGUUUCUCUCCUCGCCCAGGAGAGCGACGCCCAGGCACUGGUGGUGGUGCACCGCGAGGAGGCCCCAGCGGCGUCGAGCUGUUGUUGCUGCAGGCACAGCGACAUGCUAGGGAGGAGCUACGUCGGGAUGCUGCUCGGAUGGGACACGGGAGGCGGAUGGAGACUGAGGCGGUUGGAGCGGAGUCGGCGGAGGCCACGGGUGGCGUCGACAAUUUCCCACUGGAUCCAGUCUGCAGCUUGCCGAUAUUCCGGUCGUCACGCGCCACCGUCAUGAUGAUAGGAUCGAGGUGGCAUGAAGGAUGGGUGGUAGUGCGAGAGAUUCAUAGGUGGCUGCACAUGACAGCUGCGGUGGCCACGGGGGCGAGGAAGCAGAGACAGCGGCCCUAUAGAGUCCGGCGAGUCGGCGGUCAAGCCCGAUCCAAAGACUCCAUGCAGGAUAAGGAGAUGGAGUAG